GACGAACGCUGGCGGCGUGCUUAACACAUGCAAGUCGAACGGAAAGGCCCUGCUUUUGUGGGGUGCUCGAGUGGCGAACGGGUGAGUAACACGUGAGUAACCUGCCCUUGACUUUGGGAUAACUUCAGGAAACUGGGGCUAAUACCGGAUAGGAGCUCCUGCUGCAUGGUGGGGGUUGGAAAGUUUCGGCGGUUGGGGAUGGACUCGCGGCUUAUCAGCUUGUUGGUGGGGUAGUGGCUUACCAAGGCUUUGACGGGUAGCCGGCCUGAGAGGGUGACCGGCCACAUUGGGACUGAGAUACGGCCCAGACUCAUACGGGAGGCAGCAGUGGGGAAUAUUGCACAAUGGGCGGAAGCCUGAUGCAGAAACGCAGCGUGCGGGAUGACGGCCUUCGGGUUGUAAACCGCUUUCGCCUGUGACGAAGCGUGAGUGACGGUAAUGGGUAAAGAAGCACCGGCUAACUACGUG
rnacentral:rRNA from 1 species